GGGGAAGGAUUUAUUUUGGCGAGAGGUCUCACGGGAACUCUAGUUAUUUGGUUCCACGUACUUCAUUAUCAUGGUGAAGAAGACGAAUGUCAGAAGCUGUUUCACAGCAUGGUGGACCUGAAGCACAGAGAAUAGACAGGAAGGAGCAAGGAUACGGAGCUGUAGGGGAUGUUCCUGGAGGCUUGCUUCUUCCAGGUAGGUCCGAUCUCCAAAAGUUUCUAGCACCCUCAAACAUAGCUCUGCCAGCUAGCAACCUAGGUUUCAAAACGUGAACCCAUUGAGGGAGCAUUUCGUAUUUAAGUCACAACAGGAUCGGUGCUCUAAAGCCAGCUUGAGGAAAAAAAAAAAAAAGGUGGAGGUUCACAAUUAGCCUUAAAAAUUCCUCCGGAAGGAGCUGCAGAUCUUCGAGUCUUGUCUCUGAAGAUUCAUUCCGACAAGUUCGCAUUUGAAACAGAUCUGGUGUUCUUCAGAUGAGCAGUAGAUAAAAUAGUUGCUCUCAUUGAAGGGGAGACUUUAAAUAAGACAGAGAAACUGAGAUACACUUAGGACAUGACAGAUUCCUGUCUCUGGCCUAACAUCUGGCAGCUCGGUCAUCGAGAGCAGCAGCAGCAAGCACUAUCUUAGUAUCUAUUUCUUCCCCAAGCAAAUACUGUUGAAUUUUUAAAUCGUUUCUUACAAUUAAUUGGUGAAAAGCUGACUCUAGAGCAAGAAGCAUCAAAUCACCUGCUUAUUGGGUGCUAUCAGUGUGUCUCCAGCUUGCCGUGCCUGCCUCUAUCAGGGAUAAUCUCACUGCGAGUAGCUUGUGUUCUAAUGCCAGGCACAGCUUCUGAAGUUUAGGGUGCUGGGCAAGUGUCCUCUCUCACUGUUGAAGAUGGCUUUAUUUCCUAAACUGUUGCAAGAAGAAGCCUCCUGAAUGCUCUUGUUUAGGUUUAUUUCAGUAAAAGAUAAGUUACUAAAGAAAAGGCUUGUGCAAGAUACCACACCUCGUCUCUGCACUUACCUCAAGCUCUCAAAUUAAGAGGAAAAAGAACUGCUGGAGACAGCCAAUGCGUUUAGGGAGAGUUCACGCUAUCAUGAAGCUUGCCGACCCCUGGCUCAGUUAUUAGCCAGGAUUUUUCUGAUUAUGUAUGCAUAGUCUUUUCCUUGGGGAUAAGAAAUAAGAAGAUUAUGUUUUCUUUGUCUAAGCAACAUAUUACAAGCUUACCCAAGAUUAGCCACAUUAUAACAAUGAAGAGUCUGCAUUCAAGAUUCCAGCUAUUUGACUUUAAAUAUUACACAAAUUGAAGUAGACUCCUUCAAAUGCUUCAAACUAAAAAAAAAAUCAAGUAAAUCUCAAUCAAACGC
rnacentral:lncRNA from 1 species